CCUGCAUCCACUAAUCUUCCUCUUCUCUACAACUAUUUGGCAUUUGGUUGCCACUUUUCAAGCGUUCUCUUCAAUGUAUUGUUUUCAUCCAAAUAAAAGUCCUGAUCCGGAAUUGAAGAAGUUCAUUUUUGCACGAGCAAGGUUAUAGAAGAAGAAAGAGUGAUAUUUUGGUAUUCAAUUUCUGCUCUUAUUUUACCAAUUUUGCUCCUAUUUUUACCAGCAUGUUACCUCCAUUAAUCACAUUGAAUGCUGGGACUGGCAUAACAAGCUCUUUGGUGUUUGAUAUUUCCUGAAUGUACAUGUGUUUGUAGAGGGAUAUCCCCUUUGCUCCAGCUCAAGCCCAACAUCCACUAAGAGAAACUCCUAGAAUUGCAUUAGCCCCCAAUUUUGAUUUGUUUGGAGUUCCUUCAAUCUCCAGCACAAUCGCAUCAACCUCAGCUUGAUUCCUUUGUAUAGAAGAAAGGCAACGUGGUCAGUAUUAGCAGUAUUUUGUUUCUUGUUUGAUUUGUAUAGAUAUGAAUACAUAUAUAAAUAGUGAAAUUGAAGCUAUUAAUGAAACUCCUUCAACAUCUGUUCCCCCACUUCCACUAUUAUGUUUAGGGAAGAGAAAAAAUAAAAAAUCUUUGGAUGUGUGGGAACACUUCACAGUUGUAGGGAAUCCAAACGCUGAAGACGUUAGGUGUGCACAAAACUAUUGUGGGCAGGAUUAUGCCUGUGGGGCUAGGAAGUAUGGGACUAUUAACUUGAGGAAUCAUUUGGUUUUUUAUUGUAAGAAGUAUCUCAAAAGAUUGGAAGAUAGAUGACAAAAAGCCCAAUUGAGGGUUGUGUGAACAUUCUAGUUGGCUUUAAUAAGGAAGAGUGUAGGCUUGCAUGUGCUAAGAUGAUAAUAUUGGACGAAUUACCUUUUGGCUUUGUUGAAGGUGAGGGGUUUAGACAAUUUUGUAAGGUAGCAAGUCCUAAAUUUGAUCCUCCAUCUCGUAGAAUUGUUGUUGGAGAUCAGUUGUAUAUGGAUAAAAAAUUGCAAUUGAAAAAGAUCAUCCAACAUCAAAGAGUUUCUCUUACUAUUGAUACUUGAAGCUCCAUUCAAAAUAUUAGUUAUAUGUCUCUCACAGCACACUAUGUUG